AUUUUUUGUCUUUAUUUUACUAAGCAUUUUUACUGUUGACAAAGAGACCACCUUGCUAAUAUUGGUUCCUGCUCGUACUUGCACCAGAAACUACAAUAUGGAAAUGUUGAUCUUAAUAUUGUUUUGUUUUUUCUUCUUCCAGGAAGUGUUUCUUGUUCUGAUCGCCAUCCUGUUGGCUGUUUCGUCGGUCUAUGCUUUCUUCUACCUGAAAUUCAACUUAUUCGAGAACCCUGCGGAAGAAUCAAGUGAUUAGACUCCUGCAAGUCACCAGACCAUGCAUUCAGCGAGAAAGAGGACUCUAGACUGCUGUGCAAGAAAUAAUUAUGUUGGUAAAUGCUAGACAUGUUUACUGCAUUGGUUCUCAAACAAGUCCUCAAUAUCCACCACUGAUCGAGAUUUUAUAAAAUAUUUUCCUCUCUUAAUUCACUUUUCAUAUACCUAAUGUCUGGACCAAUAGUCCUUGAUGGCUUGAGAACCACUGUAAUACAGGACCAACAUUGGAUAAUGUUAAUGCUGCAUGCCAAUCAAUAAAUACAUUCCAAAUCAGACAUGUAUCGAAUUGUCCUAACAAAUGUAACAUGAUAAGGGUUUUUCUUAUAUAAAACGAUAUUCACCAAAAUUCCUUAUGGUGAGAAGAAUGUUGUUUUUUGUUUUUCUUUUUGAAAUUCUGUUUUUUCUUUGGGUUAAGUGUUUUGUAACCUCUACACAAAAAUAAAAAGAUUCUUUUUUUUUUCUCUUAUUUUGCUGUAAUUUUCAGCCUAUUUCUAUGAUUUCUUUGAGAAAAACCAAUGCAAUAUGUGGGACCUGAUUUUUAUAUUGAACAUGUAAAGGGUUAAAAAAUUAAAUGAAACAUAAUGCAUUUUUGGGGUAAUCUUAAUUUUUUCCAUUGCUUAAUUUUAAAACACAAUAUACAUUGUAAUAUUUCCCUGUACAGCUAACCAAGCUGGUAAUAGCACACACGCUGGCAUUUAUUCACCAAGUUGACUUUGUAUCCCAGGAUGGGUUUGUGUUAAUACUAUAUACAGCAUAAUAUCUGGACUAGUGUCUUUUGUGUAUAAAGUCAUGAACAUUCCACAUAGAAUACAGUACUCAAUCAUUUUUAAAUUUCUAAUAAAAUAACGAAAUUUACUUUAGCACCAGAAAACAAUAUUCUAAAAAACAAAACAAAAAAACUGGGCAUAUAUAAAUUACAUAUCUCAGUAUAAAUAUACAAUGACUGGAGUUUUAAACCUUACUUUCUGUUCAGGUUUCAGAGACCAAGUAUAUUUAUUUUGUCACAAAUUUAACUACCACCAUAUAAUGUAACUGCUUCUUUUACAGAAAUACAAAAAAAUUUCACAACUGCAGGGAUUUUUAUAAAAUAAACAGUUUUCAUUGUGCCACUUUGUGAUAUGUGAAUGUACAGUGUCUAUUAAGUUUCAGUGCUUUCAUUUUAUGAUUAUGCUUUUUAUUGAAUAAACCCGACUAUAAUUAAAAACUCAUUAUUUCAUUGUAUAUGUGUACUUAAAGUGCCCCUUUAAGUUUUAAUGCCACUGAUGGCUGGCAGGUGACACCCUAAGCCAAUCAGUAGUACAGCGCUAUGGAAUCUGAUGGCGCUAUAUAAAUAAUAAAAUAAUAAUCAGUAGUUUCCCAUUCAAGCACUUAAGAAACAUACAUACUUUUCUCAAACCGCGUUUAUAUUCUUUAUUUUUUCGUGCCUUGAAUUACAAACUGGUCUGCGGUGCUACGACAGCAGAGCAAACUGACAUAAUCAAAAACAAGUAUUCAAUGUCAUGGCAUACAAGAAAAAUGCACAUUUUUUAGAUAUAGUAGUCAUGCUUAUAUCGUGUGUAUAUGUGGGUGAGCACAUCUAGUUGUUCUUUUAGGUGUAGCGUAGCGCUGUGGAGGCGGGGAGCCCCUCCGACUCUGGGAUUGCUGGAGGGCCGGUGCUCUGUUUCUGCAUGCUUGAGUUCUUGCGGGGUCCCGAUGUGCGCUGCUUUUUGCCCGUGUAGUACUUUAUUUGCCUUCUGUGGUCUGCAGCAUGUGUGGCUGAUGCUUGCGGGGUGGCUUGUGGCUAUGUAGGGCUGCAGCCCAGUGUUUCGGCUGGUGCUUUGUUUUCCUCUACCUACGUGGGUAGCAUACUGGGGUCGCACCCCGUGUGGCUCCCGCCCCAGGUGGACCAACUGUGUGAUACUUUUGAGCUUCGUGGAGUGAUUUGCCCAGUUGGGGCUUCACCAUCUGCAUCCUGGUCUGGCGCCAGUUAGGGUGUGAAACUCUGUCUGGUUGGCAUACUGUGGGUGCUUUUUCUGUGGUGCUGGCCAUUGGUGGCUUUAGAGGCUGGUGCCUGUCCUCCAAACUUGCCCAGAAGUGCUUGCAUAUGGCAUCAAAUUUUGUCUGAAAGGCAGUUGCCCAGUCGCUGGGGGUCAGGGGAAAUCCGCUAUAUGUGUUUCAGGUAGAGAGAGAUGAUGAGGUUUGCUUCUUCUCAGCUCCCCGGUCAGGCCCCGCCCCCUCUCUCAAACCAUGUUUAAAUGGGGAGCCACUGGUUUAGAGCAGGGAUAGGCAACGUUCGGCACUCCGGAUGUUGUGGACUACGUCUCCCUGGAUGCUUUGCCAGCAUUAUAACUGUAAGAGCAUUAUGGGAGAUGAAGUCUAUAACAUCUAGAGUGCUGAAGGUUGAUUACUCCUGGCUUUGAGUUUAUGCUGACCGCUCUAAUCCAAUAAGUGGCGUCCCUACCUGCAGCAGUCCAAGGCUUCUAUUUUGAAGAUUUUAAUAAAGUGGUUGUUGGAUAGUGCAGAGCUCAACUGCCUUGGCAAGAAAACUUUGGAGUUAAACCCUUUGUAAAUAGUAUCAAAACCUAAAGAGCCAGCACCAGGGACCUCCUGGUACAUAGUUACAUAGCUGAAAAGAGACUUGCAUCCAUCAAGUUCAGCCUUCCUCACAUAUGUUUUUGCUGUUGAUCCAAAAGAAGGCAAAAAACCCAGUCUGAAGCGCUUCCAAUUUUGCCACAAACUAGGAAAAAAUUCCUUCUUGACCCCAAAAUAGCAGUCAGGUGUCUCCUUAUUUCAAGCAGGUAUUACCCCACUAAUUAGAAAUGAUAUCCCUGUAUGUCCUGUUUUUAGUUUGAUUAAGUUAUGGUGCACAGAGGUUUUUUGUAUUUGUCUGUCUGUGUAUACACUAAUUGUGCAGCGCGGCAGAAUUUGUUGGCAAUUUAUAAAUACCAGUAAUAAAUAAAUACAUAGAAAUCGAAUUUCAAAAUUUGCAGGCUUUAUAUAUGCUUUCUCUAAACCAGUUACUGUUUCAUGAAUUGAUUUCCCAACUUUUAGCGAAUAACAAUGUAAUCUCCCUAAAACAUUUCUACACUAGCAUUGUAUUUAUCUUUUUAGGCUAACAGGAAGUAAAGGCUCAAUAAAAUGUACCUACAGCCCAAAGGGAACUUUUUAGCAAUGACAAAUUAUUCCCUGGCAUGCAAAAAAGCCUGCUAGAAUAAGUAUUGUACAAUUUCCGUAUAAAAAUAGGAAAUCUACUUGAGCCUAAAUUUACUUGCUAAAUAUGUUCUUUUGAUUGAGGCGAUAAUUAUAAUGCACUUUACUGCAAUGUGGAAAUUAUGAGAUCAGAACUACUUAGAGUGGUACAUAAUGGAUUUCCAAUGCUUCGAAAAACUGUUGGUAACUGAGCUAAUAUGUAUAAUGUAUGUAUAUUAUGUAUAAUAUUUUUACCAGAGUACAACAUGGAAUAUGACCAUUUUAAAAUACAGAAUACUAAUGAAAUCAAUAAAUGGAAUAUAAAAGUUAGAAUACACAACUCAAAUGCACUGCGUUGAAGUAAAGUACUAGCCUUAACAUGUACUUAAUUAUUUUUGUUAAUGUGUAAAUUUUAGAGUAAAGCAGUUUAGUCUAAUGUUAUAGUCUGCCUUUAACUGUAAGUACUUUACCCACUUCAGCUUGCUAAAGUGGUUAUAGUGCAGAUCCAUGCACUGUAAGAGAGAUAAAAAAGGUCUCCUGUGUCUCCUCAGUCUCAAAGACCGAAAGGAGUUUUUGCAAGGAUCUGCACCCAUCAGAGGUGCAGACCCUAAGCUCUGUUGACAGGACCAUUCAGGAGCAGAACAUAGACUCCAUUGGACCACCAGGGGAAGGAACCAUAAUCACAGCCACUGUUGGAUCACCAGGGAGUUAAAUCAUGAUCACAGCAUCUACCAGGGAAUCGGGGACCCUACUUUGUUUUAUGACAUAGUUUCCAUUUUACUGAACUUCCAAUUCACAGGGUGAUUCACCAAAUUGAUAAUUUAAAGUCAAUUCAAACUGAAUUCUAAAGUUAAGGCAAAAAUAGCUGAACUGGGAAAAUCCUCUAUAUUGGCCCCAAUUCCGGUUUAGCUACUUUGGUCUUAAAUUUUAAAUUUCGUUCUAUAAGGGAAGUAUCUAAAUAACAGAGGUAUCUCAGCUAGACAGACUCGUUUAGAGCAGUGUUCUCCAAACCAGUCAUCGUGAACCACCAACACUCCAGGUUUUGUCAGUAUCUCAGUUGGAAUUAAACAGGGAAAUGCAUAAAUCCUGGAUUGUUGGUGGUCCAUGAGGACUGGGCUGGGGAAAACUGGUUUAGAGCAUUAAAAAUUAUUGCAUGCCAAUGUAUGAAACAAAAGGAAAAAAAGCUGAUAUUUGUUGACUUUGUCCCAUGUGACAUAAACAUAUGGCGUAAAUGCAAAUUAUAAUUGAG